rnacentral:rRNA from 1 species
ACAGCAGUCGCCACGGUAAUACGGAGGGUGCAAGCGUUAAUCGGAAUUACUGGGCGUAAAGCGCACGCAGGCGGUCUGACAAGUCAGAUGUGAAAUCCCCGGGCUUAACCUGGGAACUGCAUUUGAAACUGUCAGGCUGGAGUCUUGUAGAGGGGGGUGGAAUUCCAGGUGUAGCGGUGAAAUGCGUAGAGAUCUGGAGGAAUACCGGUGGCGAAGGCGGCCCCCUGGACAAAGACUGACGCUCAGGUGCGAAAGCGUGGGGAGCAAACAGGAUUAGAUACCCCGGUAGUCCCUGUCUCUUAUAC